UACGAAGGGGGCUAGCGUUGUUCGGAAUUACUGGGCGUAAAGCGCACGUAGGCGGAUUGUUAAGUCAGAGGUGAAAUCCCGGAGCUCAACUUCGGAACUGCCUUUGAUACUGGCAAUCUCGAGUCCGGAAGAGGUUAGUGGAAUUCCCAGUGUAGAGGUGAAAUUCGUAGAUAUUGGGAAGAACACCAGUGGCGAAGGCGGCUAACUGGUCCGGUACUGACGCUGAGGUGCGAAGCGUGGGGAGCAAAACAGG
rnacentral:rRNA from 1 species